rnacentral:tRNA from 1 species
GUUAAUGUAGCUUAAAAUUUUAUAAAGCAAGACACUGAAAAUGUCUAGAUGGAUAUUACUGUCCCAUCAACA